CGAGAAAGCCCGCAAGGGUGAGUAAAGCGGCGCACGGGUGCGUAACACGUGGGUAAUCUGCCCUGGAGUCCGGAAUAACUCGCCGAAAGGCGUGCUAAUGCCGGAUAAGACCACGGGAGCUUCGGCUCCUGCGGGAAAAGGUGGCCUCUGUAUACAAGCUAUCGUUCCAGGAUGAGCCCGCGGCCCAUCAGCUCGUUGGCGGGGUAAUGGCCCACCAAGGCUACGACGGGUAGCUGGUCUGAGAGGACGAUCAGCCACACUGGAACUGAGACACGGUCCAGACUCCUACGGGAGGCAGCAGUGGGGAAUCUUGCGCAAUGGGCGAAAGCCUGACGCAGCAACGCCGCGUGUGUGAUGAAGGUCUUCGGAUCGUAAAGCACUGUCGCGAGGGACG
rnacentral:rRNA from 1 species